rnacentral:rRNA from 1 species
GGUUAAGCGACUAAGCGUACACGGUGGAUGCCCUGGCAGUCAGAGGCGAUGAAGGACGUGCUAAUCUGCGAAAAGCGUCGGUAAGGUGAUAUGAACCGUUAUAGCCGGCGAUGUCCGAAUGGGGAAACCCAGUGCAAUUCGUUGCACUAUCGUUUGAUGAAUACAUAGUCAAACGAGGCGAACCGGGGGAACUGAAACAUCUAAGUACCCCGAGGAAAAGAAAUCAACCGAGAUUCCCCCAGUAGCGGCGAGCGAACGGGGAGCAGCCCGGAGUCUGAAUCAGCUUGUGUGUUAGUGGAAGCGUCUGGAAAGUCGCAGGGUACAGGGUGAUACUCCCGUACACUAAAACGCACAGGCUGUGAACUCGAAGAGUAGGGCGGGACACGUGGUAUCCUGUCUGAAUAUGGGGGGACCAUCCUCCAAGGCUAAAUACUCCUGACUGACCGAUAGUGAACCAGUACCGUGAGGGAAAGGCGAAAAGAACCCCGGCGAGGGGAGUGAAAAAGAACCUGAAACCGUGUACGUACAAGCAGUAGGAGCCUCUUUAUGGGGUGACUGCGUACCUUUUGUAUAAUGGGUCAGCGACUUAUAUUCUGUAGCAAGGUUAACCGUAUAGGGGAGCCGCAGGGAAACCGAGUCUUAACUGGGCGUUAAGUUGCAGGGUAUAGACCCGAAACCCGGUGAUCUAGCCAUGGGCAGGUUGAAGGUUGGGUAACACUAACUGGAGGACCGAACCGACUAAUGUUGAAAAAUUAGCGGAUGACUUGUGGCUGGGGGUGAAAGGCCAAUCAAACCGGGAGAUAGCUGGUUCUCCCCGAAAGCUAUUUAGGUAGCGCCUCGUGAACUCAUCUUCGGGGGUAGAGCACUGUUUCGGCUAGGGGGUCAUCCCGACUUACCAACCCGAUGCAAACUACGAAUACCGAAGAAUGUUAUCACGGGAGACACACGGCGGGUGCUAACGUCCGUCGUGAAGAGGGAAACAACCCAGACCGCCAGCUAAGGUCCCAAAGUCAUGGUUAAGUGGGAAACGAUGUGGGAAGGCCCAGACAGCCAGGAUGUUGGCUUAGAAGCAGCCAUCAUUUAAAGAAAGCGUAAUAGCUCACUGGUCGAGUCGGCCUGCGCGGAAGAUGUAACGGGGCUAAACCAUGCACCGAAGCUGCGGCAGCGACACUAUGUGUUGUUGGGUAGGGGAGCGUUCUGUAAGCCGUUGAAGGUGGCCUGUGAGGGUUGCUGGAGGUAUCAGAAGUGCGAAUGCUGACAUAAGUAACGAUAAUGCGGGUGAAAAACCCGCACGCCGGAAGACCAAGGGUUCCUGUCCAACGUUAAUCGGGGCAGGGUGAGUCGACCCCUAAGGCGAGGCCGAAAGGCGUAGUCGAUGGGAAACAGGUUAAUAUUCCUGUACUCGGUGUUACUGCGAAGGGGGGACGGAGAAGGCUAUGUUGGCCGGGCGACGGUUGUCCCGGUUUAAGCAUGUAGGCGGAUGUUCCAGGUAAAUCCGGAACGUUAUUAACGCUGAGGUGUGAUGACGAGGCACUACGGUGCUGAAGUGACAAAUGCCCUGCUUCCAGGAAAAGCCUCUAAGCAUCAGGUAACAUCAAAUCGUACCCCAAACCGACACAGGUGGUCAGGUAGAGAAUACCAAGGCGCUUGAGAGAACUCGGGUGAAGGAACUAGGCAAAAUGGUGCCGUAACUUCGGGAGAAGGCACGCUGAUAUGUAGGUGAAGUGGUUUACCCAUGGAGCUGAAAUCAGUCGAAGAUACCAGCUGGCUGCAACUGUUUAUUAAAAACACAGCACUGUGCAAACACGAAAGUGGACGUAUACGGUGUGACGCCUGCCCGGUGCCGGAAGGUUAAUUGAUGGGGUUAUCCGUAAGGAGAAGCUCUUGAUCGAAGCCCCGGUAAACGGCGGCCGUAACUAUAACGGUCCUAAGGUAGCGAAAUUCCUUGUCGGGUAAGUUCCGACCUGCACGAAUGGCGUAAUGAUGGCCAGGCUGUCUCCACCCGAGACUCAGUGAAAUUGAACUCGCUGUGAAGAUGCAGUGUACCCGCGGCAAGACGGAAAGACCCCGUGAACCUUUACUAUAGCUUGACACUGAACACUGGUCCUUGAUGUGUAGGAUAGGUGGGAGGCUUUGAAGCGUGGACGCCAGUCUGCGUGGAGCCAUCCUUGAAAUACCACCCUUUAAUGGCUGGUGUUCUAACGUGGGCCCGUUAUCCGGGUUGCGGACAGUGUCUGGUGGGUAGUUUGACUGGGGCGGUCUCCUCCUAAAGAGUAACGGAGGAGCACGAAGGUCAGCUAAUCCUGGUCGGACAUCAGGAGGUUAGUGCAAUGGCAUAAGCUGGCUUGACUGCGAGCGUGACGGCGCGAGCAGGUGCGAAAGCAGGUCAUAGUGAUCCGGUGGUUCUGAAUGGAAGGGCCAUCGCUCAACGGAUAAAAGGUACUCCGGGGAUAACAGGCUGAUACCGCCCAAGAGUUCAUAUCGACGGCGGUGUUUGGCACCUCGAUGUCGGCUCAUCACAUCCUGGGGCUGAAGUAGGUCCCAAGGGUAUGGCUGUUCGCCAUUUAAAGUGGUACGCGAGCUGGGUUUAGAACGUCGUGAGACAGUUCGGUCCCUAUCUGCCGUGGGCGCUGGAGAAUUGAGGGGGGCUGCUCCUAGUACGAGAGGACCGGAGUGGACGCAUCACUGGUGUUCGGGUUGUCAUGCCAAUGGCAUUGCCCGGUAGCUAAAUGCGGAAGAGAUAAGUGCUGAAAGCAUCUAAGCACGAAACUUGCCCCGAGAUGAGUUCUCCCUGACUCCUUGAGAGUCCUGAAGGAACGUUGAAGACGACGACGUUGAUAGGCCGGGUGUGUAAGCGCAGCGAUGCGUUGAGCUAACCGGUACUAAUGAACCGUGAGGCUUAACCUU